UUGUGUCACAAACAGAAUUAGAUGUCGGUUUUGUUAGUGUGAAGCAACAAGUUAGCAAAGUACAGCAGAUUCUGGUAUGAUAAAUAAGAAAAGAAAUGACAGGCAAGGGCAGUAUGGUGAUGGAGUGGCUAAUGUUACCUCGCAUCUCUAGGAGACUGGACUUUUAUUCCGAUCUGGGAUUCAGGGUCAAGAUGCUCUGAUGACCACUAUGCCUCACUUUUAUUGAUUUAUUUGUUAGUGAAUGCUGACCCUG